UACGGAGGAUCCAAGCGUUAUCCGGAUUUAUUGGGUUUAAAGGGUGCGUAGGCGGCCUUUUAAGUCAGGGGUGAAAUACGGUAGCUUAACCAUCGCAGUGCCUUUGAUACUGAUGUGCUUGAAUACACUAGAGGUAGGCGGAAUGUGACAAGUAGCGGUGAAAUGCAUAGAUAUGUCACAGAACACCAAUUGCGAAGGCAGCUUACUAUGGUGCAAUUGACGCUGAGGCACGAAAGCGUGGGGAUCAAACAGG
rnacentral:rRNA from 1 species